GAGGGCAUGGGGCGCAGGCCUGAUCCAGCAAUGCCGCGUGUGUGAAGAAGGCCUUCGGGUUGUAAAGCACUUUUGUCCGGAAAGAAAUCCUUGGCUCUAAUACAGUCGGGGGAUGACGGUACCGGAAGAAUAAGCACCGGCUAACUACGUGCCAGCAGCCGCGGUAAUACGUAGGGUGCAAGCGUUAAUCGGAAUUACUGGGCGUAAAGCGUGCGCAGGCGGUUUGCUAAGACCGAUGUGAAAUCCCCGGGCUCAACCUGGGAACUGCAUUGGUGACUGGCAGGCUAGAGUAUGGCAGAGGGGGGUAGAAUUCCACGUGUAGCAGUGAAAUGCGUAGAGAUGUGGAGGAAUACCGAUGGCGAAGGCAGCCCCCUGGGCCAAUACUGACGCUCAUGCACGAAAGCGUGGGGAGCAAACAGGAUUAGAUACCCUGGUAGUCCACGCCCUAAACGAUGUCAACUAGUUGUUGGGGAUUCAUUUCCUUAGUAACGUAGCUAACGCGUGAAGUUGACCGCCUGGGGAGUACGGUCGCAAGAUUAAAACUCAAAGGAAAUUUGACGGA
rnacentral:rRNA from 1 species